GUGAAAUUUAUCUGAGUCGAUUACGUACAUAUUGGAGUCCGUGUUUGAUUUAUUCCUUCGGUUCAACAUAAAAAGUCCAUAUCCGUUUGUUGCAGUCUGAUGGAUCUUGCAGCAGCCGCUUUAUGCAUUGGCUUUGCCUCCCUAAUGAAAUUUUCAAGCAUUAGCAAAAAGAUGUUAGUCAGUUCCUAAAUAUAAUGUAUCUGCUGAUCUGCUCACUGUUGAUUUCGACUGCUUGUUCCGUUCAGGACUUGUGAGCUUUUACGUCGAGCUAUACCGGUGAAUGACCUGAAAGGGUUGGGGGAAUUUCUUGAAAAUAAUAAGAUAGAAAACCCCACUGUUGUGGUACAUGGAACAGUUGGAUCAAACUCAACGGUGGAGAACAGCCGUUUGGGUGUUUUCGUCAAGGAAAGGGCUUCACUUGAGUUAAAGAAGAUGAAACUCUUUGUCUCGGCAGUACUGGACUCGAGCUGUACCAUCAUCGAGGGCAUGGCUUCACUUGAGUUAAAGAAGAUGAAUCUCAUUGUUUCGGCAGUACCGGACUCGAGCAGAACCAUCAUCAAGGAAACGGAUUCAGUUAAGUUUGAGAAGACGAAGCUCUUUGAUUUGGCAGUACAGGAAUCUAAAACCAUUUUUGUGAGCCGUAAGGGAAGUUCCUUGGUAUUUGGAUGAUGGUACUGCUCAAGUCUAUGUAUUGAAUUACCAAUAUGCCGCAGGAUUUUAUGAUACUUUAAAAACGUACUGCUCUACUGAACCAGUCAUUGCAUACUUUAAAAGCCCUGUUUCUGAUGAAAAAAUCAAGAUUACUGAGGAUAUUGACUGUAAAAAGUGUUCUCAAGUUCUUGAGAUUGGCACGUAUUUGACUGUUGUUGGUAGGGCUGAGAGAGACAAAGAUGGAGCUCCUACGAUAGGAAACGCAUAUCAGUUCUUCAUUGGACAUAGAGAACUUAACGAAUUGGUUACGAAUUUGGAAUCAGAAUCAGAGUAAGAAAUAUAUCUUAUUUAUUUUAAUUACUGAAUAUGUACUUUCUCAGAAUGUUUCUCUUGUCACAUUUUGCAGGGGGUGUGCGACUUUAUCCUUUUCCUUAA